rnacentral:rRNA from 1 species
UACGGGGGGAGCAAGCGUUGUUCGGAUUUACUGGGCGUAAAGGGCGCGUAGGCGGUCAGCACAAGUCAGUUGUGAAAUCUCCGGGCUUAACUCGGAAAGGUCAACUGAUACUGUGCGACUAGAGUGCGGAAGGGGCAACUGGAAUUCUCGGUGUAGCGGUGAAAUGCGUAGAUAUCGAGAGGAACACCUGCGGCGAAGGCGGGUUGCUGGGCCGACACUGACGCUGAUGCGCGACAGCAUGGGGAGCAAACAGG